UCGUUGUUGGAGAACCUCCACUCCCUUGCCCGGCCCUCAGAGAGGGUCCCGGCGGGCGGAGACACAGCCGGCCUCUGCCACACCUGAGGCAACUCUGCAGCCUCUCUGGACCCAAGUUCCCAUUUCUGCAAAUCAAAUAAAACGGUUCAAGAGAGGACCUUUAGAGCCGCGCAACAGAUUUGAAAUCCUCUGUGCGAACUGUUUCCCAAGGACAGCUGACAGGGGAUUGAGGUCUUGGCAUCUCCCCCUUUGAAACCUAGGUUGCCAGACUGCCAGAAGUGAGCCAGAGCCUUCUACUGUACUGGUCACUGCCAGCACCCGAGAACUGACAGCGGCACCAUCAAGAGAACAUGUGCUUUGAGCUGCUUUUCCAAGAGUGGAAACGGAUUUGCUUUGAUCCAUUCAUGUGACCGGGGGCAUACUUUGUGAGGGUUAGCAAGGUAAUACAUGACCACUGAGUUUUUCAGGCAGAACAAGAGGCCUUGUCCUCCUUAGUCAGCCCCCUACUUACUUAACCAAACUGAAUUAGGACCCAAAUGAAUUCAAGAACUAUUCGGGGAAGCUUAAAAGAGUAUGAAGGAAGAAAAAGCAGAAGAAAGAGCUUGAACUAACUGGUUUGCCCCCAGAAACCCAGACUGGACUUUUAGAGAAGUUGUAAGGAGAGUGGCCUGUUUCAUCCAGUUUGACUUUGCUGUGUCUGCUGCCCUGUGUUCUCUUUCUCCUUCUUCCCUAAAUUCACAGCCACCCCCAGUCUCCUCCCGCUCCCUAAAAAGCAUUAGAGCAUUUGAACCAUGAACUCUUCUGUCUCCUGGUACACUCAAUAUCAAAGCAGACGGGAUUCUGUUUCAUGGGCUUUGAAGUCAGGCUUUUUUCUUUUAGAGUAGCUGUGUCCAAGGGAUGGGUGGAGUGGAAGAGAAAUAUCACAGGUCAAAAU